UUUAAUUAAUAGCACUUCUUUAUUAAACUUAAUUAUUUCUGUGACUUGAGAACGUCGUCUCCCUCUUUCUUUCCAUUUCCUUAGCGGCCGCCCGAGGCGUCGCGGGAGACGCCGGUCAGCCGCUCACGCCAUAUUUCCUCUGUUGGCUCCUCGUAUUUUCCCUCCACGAUUUCGAAUUAAAAACCCAAAAUUUAUUUAAGCGCAUAACUUAAUUAUCGCAACUAUUUCCCUUUGUUAAGAAAAAUUAUAUGUUUUCCGGACUUGGGAUAAAUUAGUCAUACUUCAAAUAAUUCGGGAGCAGUAAGCUAAUUAGAUAAUUCCCCACGAUAAAAUAUCAGCCCAAGAAUCAAAUUAAUUAUUUACUUAGCCCAACUUAUUCCCCUAAUUAAAAUUAAGAAGCCCAACUACUAUAACUCCAAGAGAGACCCAAUCUUUACUUUCUCCAAAUUAAUUUAGGGCCCAACUCCAAAAUUAAAGAGGGAGGCCCAAUUCCUUUAAAUUAAAUCCAUGGCCCAACAAGCAGGCCCAAAAACUAUACUCCAUAACAUCCAUCGGCCUAUCUCUCCUUUAUUUCAAAAUUUGAAGUCCCCAAGUUAUCAAAUACACGUAUGUACUCCCAUUUCAUUUUAAAGCAAACACUAAAAUUUUUUUGGCCCAAUAUCUAUUUAAAUACUCAAAAUCCAAUGAAUUUACAAAGAAUACAGUUUACUCUCAUUUCAACACAAAGCUGUCGGCUAUCUCUCUCACAGUUUCAUUCAAGCUCUUUAAAGAGUACACCCAAAUUUUCUUAAAUUUGCAACACUCAAGAAUUGGGGAUUUACAAGCACACAAAAUCCCUCUCCCUCUCAAUUGUAAUUCUCCAACCAAGAACACCCCCGAUUUCAAAAGUUGAACAAACAGAAAUUAGAGCUCCGUCGCCCCGCACCAAUUGACCGGUCACCGCCGCUACGUCGCCGUGCCUGUUCGCUCCUCUGUCACCGCGCUGCCGCUGCUGCCACGAAUCCGCCAUCGCGAAUCCGCCGCCGUCGGCUCCUCCUUCCCUCAUCUUCUCUCUCUCGGAUCUGCCGCCACCGCGGAUCCGCCUCCGUCGCCCAGCCACCGUCGUCCUCAACGUCCAGCCAAGCUGCCUACGCCGUCAGACGCCGGGAGAUGCUGCUGCUGGCCGCGUCCAUGCCGUCUGCGGUCGCCACGGAUCUGCUCGCUGUUAGAACAGCCCUGAAACGACACCACGCAGCCCCGAAACCAACCCGAACCACCCCGCAAAGUUAUGAGAUUCACAAAAUUGAGGCUAUUGUAGAGGAAUUGAGGUACCUUUGGAGAGUAGAAAUUGUCUAGCAGCAAAAGGAAUUGUAUUCACGGCAGUUUGGUUGUUUGUUUUUUUUUUCCUUCCUCUCAAACUGUGAUGUCAAGCAAAUUGUGGCACUAGUUACUAGAUUGCGAUUUUGCACUCGCCGAUCAUUCAAAGAUUUGGAAUUGAAUUUGAAGGGGUUAUACCUUUUUGUUUGAUCGAGCAGUUGCGAUUGCAAGGAGAUUUCUUUAUGUUGGUUUCCUCCGAUUUUGAAUGUACGAGAUUGUGUCGUGACUAAUAUAGGGGGUGGUUUGGAUGUGAGGUAUGUGAAUGAUUCAUAUGCGUGUACAUAUACAACAAGAAUGCAAGUGGACUAGUGAAGAUAUCUUUCAAAAUAUUCUUUCAAAA